GUGUUCACUUGGGCACCUCAUAUACUAAAACUGGAGCAAUAAAAAGAAGAUUAACAUGAUUUCAGUGCAAGGGUGUCAUGCAAUUUGUGAAGUGUUCCAUAUUUUU